AACGGCAGCAUAGGAGCUUGCUCCUGGUGGCGAGUGGCGAACGGGUGAGUAAUACAUCGGAACGUGCCCAGACGUGGGGGAUAACGUAGCGAAAGUUACGCUAAUACCGCAUACGUCCUGAGGGAGAAAGCAGGGGAUCGCAAGACCUUGCGCGUUUGGAGCGGCCGAUGGCAGAUUAGCUUGUUGGUGAGGUAAAGGCUCACCAAGGCGACGAUCUGUAGCGGGUCUGAGAGGACGACCCGCCACACUGGAACUGAGACACGGUCCAGACUCCUACGGGAGGCAGCAGUGGGGAAUUUUGGACAAUGGGGGAAACCCUGAUCCAGCCAUUCCGCGUGAGUGAAGAAGGCCUUCGGGUUGUAAAGCUCUUUCAGCAGGGAAGAAACGGUUUUGGCU
rnacentral:rRNA from 1 species